GGGCGCAUAGCUCAGCGGUAGAGCGCUGCCCUUACAAGGCAGAUGUCACUGGUUCGAUCCCAGUUGCGCCCACCA
rnacentral:tRNA from 1 species